CGUACUGAAGCUAAAAAGAAUGUUUUCCCCCCUUCCCUCCUCCUCACUGCAAUUUGAAGAAUUUGGACCUGUAAUUCAAAGAGAACACCCUUAAUUCGGCCUGCUUGGUGGGCAGUGACUGCCCAUUUCUGAAAGAUGCACUGCUAACAACCACAAUCAGACAUUCAAAAAGUCACUGUCUACAGGAAAAGGAAUCCACGGAAGACAUGACAUUUUUACAUCAUUCCUUCAUCCAGACAAUUUAAUCUAGCAUUUGUGGCAAUGGAACUGGAUAUUCAAAAAAGAAAUUAAAAGAAAAAUGCAAAAUUGAAGACACUCUAGAAG